rnacentral:rRNA from 1 species
CUACGGAGGAUCCGAGCGUUAUCCGGAUUUAUUGGGUUUAAAGGGUGCACAGGCGGCCAUUUAAGUCAGCGGUUAAAUCGUGGGGCUCAACCCCAUUCUGCCGUUGAUACUGGGUGGCUUGAUUGCGGUCGAGGUUGGCGGAAUUCGUUGUGUAGCGGUGAAAUGCAUAGAUAUGACGAAGAACACCGAUUGCGUAGGCAGCUGACCAGACCGCAAAUGACGCUCAUGCACGAAAGUGCGGGGAUCGAACAGGAUUAGAUACCCUGGUAGUCCGCACAGUAAACGAUGAAUACUUGUUUUCGGCGAUAUAAUGUCGGAGGCAAAGCGAAAGCGAUAAGUAUUCCACCUGGGGAGUACGCCGGCAACGGUGAAACUCAAAUGAAUUGGCGGGG